CUUCCUCUCUCUGUAACAGCUUUUUCUGGUGGGAUUUGACAGGGGUUUGGGCUCGAUGCAUCAAAAGUCUCAUCUUUCCCUCUUUGUUCAUCGACCGUCACUCUCUAAACCUCUUAGAACAACUCUCUCUCUUCUUCUUCAUCUUCCAGCCUCUCUCUGAGAACAACAACGAGCAAGAUGGUUUUCUUCAUCUUCCAGCCUCUCUCAUCUUCUUAGAGAGGCUCUUUGUUUUAAAGUUCUUCCCUCCCUGCCAAAACUUAUUUAGCCCUUUAUUUUUUUUAAAUUUUUUAUUUGUCUAAUAUACAUAAAUUUCUGAUCUUGCAGGUGAAAUAUUACAAAUUUCCUCCAACACUUUUAUCAGAUUUUCAUCAAAACACAUUUUGUCUUGCCUAUGCCUUAUUCACAUAUCUUGCUCCAAGAAGAUUGUCGACCUGCUUCAUUGCUAUUCUAUAAAUGGUUAUAUGUAGGUUAGACAAAAUAAGUUAGAGCGAGACUAAUUGGCAGUGGAGUGAGAGGAGUCUUAACAUGGGAAAGAACAAGUAUAGAAGACAUGUUAAAGAUUUGUCAAUUGACAGAGCAACUCUGUAUGAACUUCAACUAAAUGCUGCCUAAGAAUUUAACUAGUGAACUCUACCACAAAUCCUUGGAAGAUGCUGCUAAGAUAAAGGAACAAGGAAAAAGGAGGCUACUUUUCUCCAUUCAACCAUGAAGAAGUAAGAAAAUUGUGCCCAAGAUAAAGGUGCAACGGUUUAUGUAUACGCGGUCUACUAUGAGAGAUAGGUAGCCAGCUAUUUCACACUUUUGGAUAGCAUUUUAUAACUCAAGAAAACAAGAUUAAAGUGAUAAAAUUUGUUGGGUCGGUGGAUGAAUAUUUUGGCCUCAAAUGCCAUUUUGAAAGACUGGAAGCAUAUGCAGCUCUCCACUCCCAAUUGUGUUUGAGUCUUGUAUCUCUUACUAUUUACAUUAAAAAAAGGAGUCUUCAUGGGUGUUAGUAGUUGAGAGAAAAAGGGCAUUUCAUAGCUUUUUUGUAUUUUUAUAAUUUAUACCUUUUGGAACAUUAAGCAUAUUGUACUGAUACUGCUUUCUAAUGGGAAAAUCUGGUGGAGAAAGAAAUCCAACAAGUCCUGUAACUUACAAUUAUACUAUUCGUUUUCUUUCUAGAUGAGAGUCAUUUUCU